AACGAACGCUGGCGGCAGGCCUAACACAUGCAAGUCGAACGGAUGUAGCAAUACAUUAGUGGCGCACGGGUGCGUAACACGUGGGAACAUACCCUUGAGUAAGGAAUAAUGUCUGGAAACGGACACUAAUACCUUAUAAUGACUUCGGUCCAAAGAUUUAUCGCUCAAGGAUUGGCCCGCGUCUGAUUAGGUAGUUGGUGAGGUAACGGCUCACCAAGCCUACGAUCAGUAGCUGGUCUGAGAGGAUGAUCAGCCACACUGGAACUGAGACACGGUCCAGACUCCUACGGGAGGCAGCAGUGAGGAAUAUUGCGCAAUGGGGGAAACCCUGACGCAGCCAUGCCGCGUGAGUGAAGAAGGCCUUCGGGUUGUAAAGCUCUUUCAGUCGUGAAGAUAAUGACGGUAGCGACAGAAGAAGCCCCGGCUAAAUUCGUGCCAGCAGCCGCCGUAA
rnacentral:rRNA from 1 species